rnacentral:tRNA from 1 species
UAGUUUAGUUGGAAGAGCAUGGCGCUUAUAACGCUAGGGUAGUGGGUUCGAUUCCCAU